rnacentral:lncRNA from 1 species
UUAGUCCAUGGCCUGUUCCUAACUUCAAUCCAUAACUGCUACUGUCUUUCAAGUGCCUGAAGCUGAUCAAGCAGUUGUCCCAGAAAAGAAAGUCCCCAGGGUCCCGCCCAAAAAAGUUGAAGCCCCACCUAUUACAGGUAUUUUUAAGUUGUCUUCUUGCUCUUCAGAAUGCACAACUUCUGUUUCUGAAAACAUUUAUAGUCCACUUACCUCAUUGCCCAAAAUGAAAAGAAAAACCAAACAAAAAAACCAAACAGACUACUUACUAGUCUUUGUAACUACCAGAAAUUGUCCCUGAAAAGAAAAUAGUUGUACCUCCUAGGAAGCCAGCAGCCUUACCUGUCACAGAUACUUGACAGUGACCCACAUUUUCAGAAACAGUAAUUCUGCAGCUGGUGGAAAACAGUAUGCUUUGUGGUCCCCAUAAGACCUAAGUAUAAUACCACUGAUCUCUUUGAAGUGCCUGAGGAACCUAAAGAGGUCAUCCCUGAAAAGAAAGUGUCCCUGGUGCCUCCUAAAAAGCCAGCAGCCCCACCUGUCACAGGUACUUGUCCCUGGCCUGAGGUUUCACAGUAUCUCACUCUUGUUCUUCAUCCUACUAGUCAGACACCCUAAUGUAGUUUUACUAAUCUCUUUUAAGUGCCUGAGGCACCUGAAGAGGUCUUCUCUGAAGACGAAGAGACCCUGGCACCCCCUCAAGAGCCAGAGGCCCCACCUGCCAAAGGUAUUUCUCACAGACUUCAGGGUUCAUGAGAUCUCACUCUUGUACUCUUGAAAAUAUUGUGGCCUACUACUCUUCUAAGCCUAAGUGGACUUUCACUGAUCUCUUUGAAGUGCCAGAGGCUCCCAAAGAAGUUGUUCCUGAAAAGAAAGUCUCCGUGGUGCCUCCCAAAAAGCCAGAAGCCCCACCU